GCUGUCUAUAGCCACUACUACUAGUAGCACUAGUACUCCUUUUAUAUAGAUAGCUCCUCCUCCUUCCAAUCUCAUCUUCCCCGGUUCCCCCUUCAACCUAUCUGUUCACCUCCCUCAAACCCUUUCUCUUGUUCCCUCGUGGCCCUCUUCAUUUGGAUCUGGCCCUUUGUGCCGUCGAGCCGGACGGAGGUCCAGAGAGGCGCCGUGCGCCGCAGCGGGAUCUCUCUCUACGACGGCGCUCUGGCCUCUGCUCGGUUUCCGCUGACGGGUGACUCCCAUGGCGGCUGUGCGUCGGCGGCGGGCGGCCCCCGGAUGCGCCGGUGCGUCGCCGACGGGCCUCCCCGGAUGGAGGCGAGGAUCUGUUCCACUGACGAGUGGACCUACGGUCGCGGGAGGCGGUCAAUGGAUGGGGGCCUCGGCUGGAGUCGGCUCUAGGCUGACAGGUGGGGCAGCCCCCCACGGGUUUCGGCCGGCGGGGAUCGCUCUCCCUGACAGGUGGGGCAGGCCUCCCUCGGCUGGAUGCGUCAGCUCGCUGACAAGUGGGCCGGGGCGGCUGGAACCUUCGCGGCGCUAGGCUGACAGGUGGGGGGCCGCUUUGGUCGGCGGUGAUCGCCCUCACUGACAGGUGGGCCGGGGACGGCUGGAGUCCGCGCGGCGCUAGGCUGACAGGUGGGGCAUGGCCCUGGAUGCGGUAUAUAUAUAUGAACCGAUCUCUCCGCUGCCGCUGCCCCCCGAGUCGCCUCGUCGGAGGAAAGCCGGAAGCGAUCUCCUCGAUCGAAUCAAAUCUGCAUUCGCCGUCGAGCGGCGACCCCCGCCUCCCCGCCUCCCCACCGCCGCCGCCGCCGCCGUACCUCCACAGGAAUGGCCGAUGUCAUCGACGAGCCCAUGGUCGAGGCGUUCGCCCGACUCGCCCUGAAGGCUUCCCUCGC